GUGUUUUGCGCAAUCGCGGCAUUCGUUCAACUUUUGUCUAUCGGUAACAACAAAGAAAUAAAGAAAGUGAAGCAAAAAGUAAAAUGCGUUGUACGUUACAUAGAGAAAAAAAAGAGUGAAACCGUCGUAAUCCAGUGGAAGUUAAUUAUCUUAACGGCGUUGUACCAAUAAUUCGAAACAUAGAGCCAGUAAAUUAAGGACAGUUCCCUGAUUCAACGUAAUGGCUUACUUCCCAUUCGGCUUUGCAACCAGUUUCAUAUGCUAUUCGCGAUGAAAUAGGUUUCAUUGUAAGGUGACAUGUGGCGAUUAGAGUACUAGCUAUUUGUUUCAGGUUUUAAGUAGUUAUAAUGUGGAUAAAAGUUCGCUGGUUAGGUUGGUAUUUGACGAAUAAGGUUUUCAACCAAAGAAGGUUCACGAGUUCUUCUGAAAAAUUUUUAUUUACUUUUAAGAGGAAACAGUAAGUUCACUACUAUUUCGCAACGGAAGUAUUUUUUUCUUUACUACUAAAAAAGGCAUAAGUUAAAUUUCUAAUAAAAACAAAGGUAAUAUUGUUGUUAUUACUGCUAUUAUUUCUGUAUCAUAAUGUUAUGGAUAGUUAUCAGUUAAUUAAUUCCCAUCUUAGUAGAUGAUGAUUAUUUUUUUAUUUAAAUUCAUGUUUAUUUUUGCAAAUAUCUCGGAAAUGAGGAUUCAGCAAAACCAAUGGUAUUUUCACAAAUUAAGAGACGACAGGGAUAACAGUCGUUUUAUCGAAUAUUAAAAUAACACGUGGACUUGGUAAGAGAAUUUAUAUUUAAAUUCUCUUACUUAGUGUUAGAUGUGUAAGCGAGGCAGAUUUAUGGUGGCGAUUAAAUAGCACAAAGAGGCAUUUUUUGGUGCAUAUUCAAUGACCAGGCAGUUUACUGUUCGUAAUUAUCGUGUACGACACUUUCACGCGAUGUAGUUGGACAUUAAUUUCAAGAUUGACACUGAGAUAACACGUUACGUCAUGACUUCGCUCAAGGACCGACGUUUGUCAUUGCAGAAAUAGAAGUAAAUUGCGAAUUUACGGGUAUCUGAAAAAAGUAGCCGUGGGUGGAAACGAACACACCACGUGUUUUGCUCUAACAAUCCAUCCCACUCGUUUCAGCAACUAAUUGGCAAUGUAUUUAAAAUAGCCAGAUUUUAAUAUUUUGAUGUCUGUAAAUAUUAAAUAAUGGAACUUUAUUAAUCGUGGUACAAUUCGAUAUUCUAAUUUUUAUUUGAAGUGUUUACGAUAAGUUUUCGAUAUUUGCCUAGAUUAUCCGUUACGCCGAUUAAUCAGUACUUAUUAUAAUUAUCUGUUAGAUGCACAAUCUUCGCAUGUAGAAUAUUAAAUACUUCAACAGUCGAUGGCAUUGUCGAGGAUAAAUCUUGAAGUACUCCUGCGAUAUAUGUGUUCGAUAUAUUUUAAGUAAGUUAAUCUUUCAAGCGAAAUUUGUUUUUCGAAUCUGUAGUUUUAUCGAACAAGUUUUAAGAAGCUCGACUUAACGAUAGAUCUUAUAACGCAUUGUAAAAGCAUCGGUAAGUGUCCCAGAAUCUUUUAAAAAAAGUUUAUGAAGUUUUUUUCUAUAGGAAAAGAGACUCUCACAUUAUAACAGGCACGUUUCUGUCCUAAAAACGUUCAUAUUAUGAAGACAUCGAUGGAAUACUAACGCCGGACAUUAUUAAACGAUUCCUCUGCAAUCACAAAAAAAUUUCCAGGACGUUUUUAUUUUUCCUGUCUUCUGUGAAAAAAAUAAAAAAUCCAGGAGGAGAAUGCUGCAUAAUGUUGGUAUAAUAUAACAGUGUCUUCGCAUACAAAGUUAUCAGGACGACGAAGAAGAAAAUGAGUUAACUGGUGUUAGCCGGUUGAAAGGUCAACGGAUGAUUAAAAUUCCCGAAGGGUAAUUCAGUGAUAAUCUUAAGAGACUGAUAUCACCCAGUGGUGAUUCGAUUUCUUCCUCGAGCAACGUCACUCUUACGUUCUUAUUAUUUUAUUUAUCUAAACUCGCAUUCACCUUUGGGCGAGUAUUAUAGUAUACAGAUAUAUUACAUAGGCUUGUACAAUACUAUAUUAGAUCAGUCUGUUAUUAAGUAAUUACCAACAUUGCAUGUUAUAACAAAUGUUAUGUCCAUUAUACAAUAUUUACAUUGUAUGAUGGGCAUAUUAUGUAUAACAGAUGUCAAUUACGGUGUAUGCUGUUGUUGUUUCACUGCAGCUACGUUAGUUGGACAAGGAUUACGUCGCUUAGGAAUUUCUAGAGAUGUUUCACCGCUCUCAUCUUGUCAUGCUGCUGCUUUUUCGGGAGACAACCGUGUGAUGAGCUGCACUUUUGCGUCAACGUCCGAUGAACAUUGCAGUUUACUUCUCGACGACAGACCUGAAUGUUUUGCGAACGUUGGCGUGAAAGUGCAGCUUACCACACGGUUGUCUCCUGAAAAUUCAAAAUCCGUGACAAAACAGAAGUAGCGAAACAUCUUUAUCGCCAAUUAUCGUUAAAGUUUAAAGUUAAUCGAAAUCCGCAAAUUAACUUCCUUCUCAUUUACGCUCGAUUUAACCAGUUACCUGUCUCUGACGAGUAUAUUCGUUAGGAAGAAACAACAGUAUUUUGCGUUAUCACGAGCCUUUUCAGUAACAAAAUUAAAAAAUAAAACAAUCAUCUCGUUACAACUUAAUUCUCUAUUAUGACAGCUACUCAUACUCCGUGUUUGACGAGUAUACUCGUCAUCGCUUACCUUUUGCCACACAUUUUAGGUACACACUUUGCAAAGAGAUCGCAACAGCUAACUUUUUACAAGACGUUUGGAACGUUAUAUCCUCUAUAUCCGUUUCGAUAUUCUUUUGCAAAUAAAUAAUUAUGUGCUUCG